rnacentral:rRNA from 1 species
AUUGAACGCUGGCGGCAGGCCUAACACAUGCAAGUCGAACGAGUGGCGGACGGGUGAGUAAUGUCUGGGAAACUGCCUGAUGGAAAGGGCUAACUACUGGAAACGGUAGCUAAUACCGCAUACCAUCGGAUGUGCCCUGAUGGGAUUAGCUAGUAGGUGGGGUAAAGGCGCACCUAGGCGACGAUGCCUAGCUGGUCUGAGAGGAUGAGCAGCCGCACUGGAACUGAGACACGGUCCAGACUCCUACGGGAGGCAGCAGUGGGGAAUAUUGCACAAUGGGCGAAAGCCUGAUGCAGCCAUGCCGCGGGUAUGAAGAAGGCCUUCGGGUUGUAAAGUACUUUCAGCGGGGAGGCGUUACCCGCAGAGGAAGCACCGGCUAACUCCGUGCCAGCAGCCGCGGUAAUAC